rnacentral:rRNA from 1 species
GAUGAACGCUGGCGGUGUGCCUAAUACAUGCAAGUCGUACGCAUUCCCGUUUUUGAUUGAAGGUGCUUGCACCUGAUUGAUAAAACAUCGGAAUGAGUGGCGGACGGGUGAGUAACACGUGGGUAACCUGCCCAGAAGUGGGGGAUAACAUUUGGAAACAGAUGCUAAUACCGCAUAAUAGAUAGAACCACAUGGUUCUAUUUUGAAAGAUGGCCUUUGUGCUAUCACUUCUGGAUGGACCCGCGGUGUAUUAGCUAGUUGGUAAGGUAACGGCUUACCAAGGCAAUGAUACAGAGCCGAACUGAGAGGUUGAUCGGCCACAAUGGGACUGAGACACGGCCCAUACGCCUACGGGAGGCAGCAGGAGGGAAUCUUCCACAAUGGGCGCAAGCCUGAUGGAGCAACACCGCGUGAGUGAAGAAGGGUUUCGGCUCGUAAAACUCUGUUGUUAAAGAAGAACGUAUCUAAGAGUAACUGCUUAGGUAGUGACGGUAUUUAACCAGAAAGCCACGGCUAACUACGUGCCAGCCGCCGCCGUAA